UUCGUAGGUGGCAAGCGUUAUCCGGAAUUAUUGGGCGUAAAGCGCGCGCAGGCGGUCCUUUAAGUCUGAUGUGAAAGCCCACGGCUCAACCGUGGAGGGUCAUUGGAAACUGGGGGACUUGAGUGCAGAAGAGGAGAGCGGAAUUCCACGUGUAGCGGUGAAAUGCGUAGAGAUGUGGAGGAACACCAGUGGCGAAGGCGGCUCUCUGGUCUGUAACUGACGCUGAGGCGCGAAAGCGUGGGGAGCGAACAGG
rnacentral:rRNA from 1 species